GCUAAUACCGCAUAAUACCCACGGGUCAAAGGAGCAAUUCGCUUGAGGAGGAGGUCGCGGCCCGAUUAGUUAGUUGGCGGGGUAAUGGCCCCACCAAGACGGUGAUCGGUAUCCGGCCUGAGAGGGCGCACGGACACACUGGAACUGAAACACGGUCCAGACUCCUACGGGAGGCAGCAGUGGGGAAUUUUGCGCAAUGGGGGAAACCCUGACGCAGCAACGCCGCGUGGAGGAUGAAGUCUCUUGGGACGUAAACUCCUUUCGAUCGGGACGAUUAUGACGGUACCGGAAGAAGAAGCCCCGGCUAACUUCGUG
rnacentral:rRNA from 1 species